UACGUAGGGGGGCAAGCGUUGUCCGGAAUUAUUGGGCGUAAAGAGCUCGUAGGCGGUCUGUCGCGUCGGCUGUGAAAACCCGGGGCUCAACCCCGGGCCUGCAGUCGAUACGGGCAGACUAGAGUGCGGUAGGGGAGACUGGAAUUCCUGGUGUAGCGGUGAAAUGCGCAGAUAUCAGGAGGAACACCGGUGGCGAAGGCGGGUCUCUGGGCCGUAACUGACGCUGAGGAGCGAAAGCGUGGGGGAGCGAACAGG
rnacentral:rRNA from 1 species